GGGAAGGCCGUUGCAGUAGCGGUGGUAAGUAUGAGGGGGGAGGAGUGUUGCGGGAGCACGGAGCGUAAAACGCGGGUCGGAGGAUGGGAAGUGCGGGUGUGAAAUCCCGAGGUUCAACCUCGUAACGGGACUAGAAACUGGUCGGCGCGAGGCUCGGAGAGGAUGGCGGAAUUCCUGGUGUAGGGGUGAAAUCCGUAGAGAUCGGGAGGAACACCAGUGGCGAAGGCGGCCAUCUGGACGGUGACUGACGCUGAGACGCGAAAGCGUGGGGAGCAAACAGGAUUAGAUACCCGAGUAGUC
rnacentral:rRNA from 1 species